UAAGCAUGUAUGGGAAUGUAGCAAUGCGCGUGCGUGUGUGUCUUACAGAUGUACAAAUGAUUGAUUACAUUAGUCAUAGGAUAGGAUUUAUGGAGAAUGAUUCUAAUGUAUAUUAAAUAGCUUUAUUCAGUUUUAUUACAAUUUUCAUAGCGAGCUUUGUAGAUCUUUUUUAAAAAAAAUUAAUUAAAAAAUAUUUAUAUUGUGCUUGUAUGUAUUGAUAGAUGUAUGGACGGAGUGGAAAGAAAUUGAAAAGAUUUAUUAUUCAAUUUAUUCCCAAAACUGGUGUAGUUGUUACGAUUAAAUACAGCAGCCAUAAAUCAAACCUGUACCGGACAGAUCAUGAAUCUUCUCAGCAAAGGUGUCAUUCGCUUCGAUCAAUUAACAAUGUACCUGAAUUACAUAUUAUAUAUUAUGACCGCGAUUACAGAAAUAAUAAUAUGGCAAAAAGUCGACAUUUCGAGUUUUGUCGGCUUCAGAACGUUGUUGAUCAUCGUCCUCCCAGGGCAAGGGACUUCGAGCUUCUUGAAUCACAAACUCAAGCAAUGAUUGUGCUACUGACCGAUCAAAGAGUGCAACUGAUGAGAGAACUCAUAGCUAGGAUAUAGGAAGAUGUAUGCUUGGAAGAAAUCGUUCAGCCAGAUCAUGUCAAUAAUUAGAAAGUUGAAGAUCAAGCAAAUCAAAUUCUUGUCGUACGUGCACGUCGUAUAUUUGGCCAUCAUAAUCUUCAUUGAACGAUUGACCGUCUUCUUCACUCUGAUAAUGUUCGUUUUAAUGGAGAAUAAUUUGACUGCCAAUGACUUAUGAAAUGUCAACAUACUUCAACUCGUCGUCGCAUUGUACUUUCCGCUAAUACUGCUGGGUGAAUCAAUAAUGUCAUUCAAUUGAUUGGAGAAUUUUUUACUGAUGAACGAAGUAAACACGGGGACGCUUCUCGGAGAAGACAACACAGUUGCAGUUUAAAUCUCAGAAAUCAAAGGAAGCAACUAAUACAGAAAAUCAAACAGACAAAUACAUCUCGAGAAAUGGGAGUCGCUCUGUCUGAACAUUAAAGAUUAUCUGACCUUUCGGUAUACGUAAAGCAUCAGCGUAUUUUCGCCAAUUAGAUUAGUGGCCAAUUGCCGCCGACUUUGUUAUUGAUAGCCGUACUAGUCUUGUUUUUCUUCGCUACGAAAUCUUAUAUAAAGAUUAGUAUCAAGACCUCAAACGACUCGAAGGUGUAAUGAAGAGUCCUAUAAUCUCGUACGUAACUGCCACUCUGAAUGGUUUACCGACGAUCAGAAGCAGCGGCACUGAAAUUGAGAAAUUAAUGCGAAAACGAUUUGAUGAGUUGCAAGAUCGUCACAGGGAUAUGUGAUAUCUUUUUUUAACAUGCACGUUUAGCGAGUCGGUGUCACUGAUAACCUGCGUAGAAACAAUUCUUUAGUACACGAACCUUUCUAAGGAGGAACCUAUUAUUUCUCGAACCAUAUCUCGGACAAUCUACCGCCACCUACAUGGCCAUCUCAAGAACAAUUGAUCUUGAAGGAUGUCAACAUGAAAUAUCAUAUGAUCCACCAGUUUUGAAGAAUCUGAACGUAUCCACGAGCCUGGCUGGAAAGUUAGAGUGGUUGGACGAACUGGCGCCGGCAAAUCCUUCUUGAUCUCGGCGCUUUUCCGCUUGUUCAAUGAAGAUCUAGAAGGCGAGAUCAAGAUCGAUGACACAAGCACGGUGGGCCUGAGUGAACUGCGCUACAAAAUCUCCAUUAUAUCAUAGGAACCUGUGCUCUUUUCCGAGAGUCUACGUUACAAUCUGGAUCUGUUCAAUCAGUACGACAACAUGAAGCUGUGGGAGGUAUUGCGGCAAGUCGAGCUGAAUGAUGUCACACUGGACCAUGAUAUCUUCUCUGGCAGUCAUAACUUCGGUCAGAGACAACUCAUAUGUCUGGCCAUCUUGAUCCUUUAGAAGGGUAUUUAAAUAUCAUAUGGUGAAGACAAUAAAUUUUGAUUGAUUAAUUAUAUUGAUUAUUUAUAUAUCAAUAAAUUCCCCAUAGCAAAGAAGCCACAGUAAUCGCAACAAAGUCAUGAUAACGUGCAAAUAUUUACCUUGUCAUGGAUAUGACAUGACAGUAAAAUCAUUGUACUGUGCGAAUGUCCGCUUUGUUGCAGGAAUUUGGUUGCCUAUUUGAGCUGUUACACGAUAAACCAAAUGAUUACUUUUCACAAAUGAUGGAGAAGACGGGCAAUCAGAUAGCGCAAAGUCUUUUAGAACAGGCGAAGAAGGCUUACGAGAAGAAUAACGAUUGUGAAUAGAACUUGUCGACGCAAAAUACUGAGUGUGAGAGCGACAUCACGCUUACAGAAUAAACUGCUUUGUAGAUUUUCUAGUUCUAAAAAUCUUAUACUAAAAAUAUGUAUACUAUAUAUUGUAUAUAAAGUUAUAAUAAAACGACUCAUGAAAUUGAUU